CUUAUUUGAUCGCUUCAAUAUAAUAAACACAAGCCAAGUACUUGUAGAUUGUUUUUGUCAAUAAUAUUAUGUUACAAACAGACAGACACCUGGAAGCUUUGUUCACGUCCUACCAUUUUAAGCUCCGGACAUUCCGCCUUUUCUACGCUGACGUAAUAUGACUGACACAGGCCUCACCGAAUAAGCGCUUCCAGGGAGCAUGAUUGGCAGCGGCAUUGACCAAUGAGCGUUCGAGCUGCGGCAGCUAUGGCGUCUGCUGAUUUGCAACCCGCCGAAAUAGGAUCGGUGAAGAAGGAGACCUUCGAUCGGUUCGCCAUGGACUGUUCUAGGAUCAGUAAGGUUUAAAUACGACUCUAACCAUAGAGCGAUACAGAGUUGUGUUAAAAAGCUGGUCAUCGUUGGUCAUCAACAAGCUGGUGCUUGUGAGAGGGAAAAAGAUGGAUCCGUCUGCAGGUAUGCACAUGUCUGCUGUUCCCCAGAACAAUGAAGUGGUCCACGUCUCUGUCGGUAACCCCAUUAUAACCAUGUAUCAGCCUCAACCACAACCUCCAAACAUUGCACAAAUCAUCACACAGCACGUGAUACCUCAAGAAGUCUCCUGUCAGGCUAUACCGCACACGAUCCCAUCGCACAUCCAAAUGCCAACCCACAUCCAGACUCAGUCACACAUCCAGCCCGCUCCACAUCUGCAGACUCCACCGCAAGGCCACAUGGAAGCACAGGCUCAUAUUCCGACCCAAGACCACGUAUCAAUACAAGGUCCAUCAGAAGGCCAGAGUGCCGAGCCGUCUCAAGAUGGUGCAGUGAACUCACUGCAAGUCCCUUUUGCAGAGGUAGCCUCCCUGCUGGACCCUAACAUGAAGAGCUCAAAGGCUCGCAAAUACCAGAUCCAUUACGACGAGGUGAAGAGGAGAUUGGAACCACCUGAAAAGAUGUCUCUCCGAUCUCUGGCUGCCUAUACAAGAGUGAGUCGAGGUCCGGCUAGUAAGAAAACACUGUUGGAGUCUCUAAAUGUCUUUGGUCUGUCACCAAGCACCAAUACAGCAGUGUCCAGUUCCUUUUCCAAACUAACCGAAGGUGACACGGCUGCCCUUUGCAAAGACAUGAAGGAUUUUGCACUGCAAUAUGUCGAUUAUGAGAAUAUGGCGAAACAGCUGCUACCUGAAACAAACCAAGUGCAGCACUGGUCAAAAAUCAUCGAAACAAGGAAUUAUCUAGAGGAGAUGAGGAAGAUUUUUAAUGACCCUCUGAAUACACGUUUGUUCGCCAAUGUUACGCAUGGCCUUGGUAACGGCAUGAUGGACGUGGCUCUCGAUAUCAUAGAUAACGUCAUCGACCGACAAAUCCGAAUCCUCUCAGGGAACACCGACCCCAAACCUGAACCUCCGGUGAGAAGGAUAAGGAAACGCAACCGCAAGCCCAAAGCCGCCACGGAAGACGGCAAACCUAAAGAAAAGGGCAAAAGGGGACGGAAGAAAGGGAAACAGAUGCGGCUGGAUUCUGUUGUUCCUGAGGUUCAACAGUCCUCGGAGAUGGAGAGCAGCAUGUUAACGCUAGUCUCUGUAGGAUACGAAACCAUUUCCAGUGGACUUAACCCCAACAAUGCAGGUCUUGCGUAACAUCACGUACCUGAAAGGUGCAGAGAGACACUGUGAAUUCUGAGUGCAAAAAGUUUUUCAUAGAAAAUUUUAGUUUUAUAAAUGUUAGACUUCUCUCCUUCUCUCAAGACUGGCUAUAUUUUGUUUAGUUUUUUCUCACAAUCUGGUCAGUCAAGAAAAUAUAAUGUAGGUCUGAGAGGAUGUUGGCAGAGAUGUUUUGAUUUAAACCAAUCAUGUAUUGCCCUCAACCUUUUGUUUUGCCGUUUGUGGCAAAGAACAAGUGUACACAGACCAUCUAUGCUAUUAACGUAGCAUGCAAGCAAUUUUUUUUUCAAGCACUAUGUUGUAUUCACAAUAUCAGUUAGUCUCAUUUUAGAAUUUUAUCUCUGAAGGGUUCUUUGAUUCUGUUGAACUUAAUCUUACAAACUCCAAGCAAUUUAGUUUGAGAAUGAACAUAUCUUCUCUUGGACAUUGUUUGAUUUUUUUGGACUAUUUAUUUCCUUUUUCUGUUUGUGUCUGAUAUUUAGUGUAUGUGAACGACUGUAGCCUGUACUCGGUAAGUUUUGCAGAUUGCCCAUUAUGUGCUUGUAUUAAAAGCUUCACCUUUUUUAAGCAAUUUGUAUAUUUAUUACAUUUAUAUUGCUUGCAGAGCGCCCAAAGAAUCCAUUUUAUUACGAGACUGAAAUUUAUGGAAUGGAUUUAUCGUAAUUACAAUUGCAUAUAAUUAGGGUUAGGGAUUUAAGCAAACCCUUAACCCUGCGUAUUCAUUUUAUGAGUUUUGCAUAUCUCACAUUAUUUGUGCUAUGAGCCAUAGAUAUCUGAAACUAUGUGGGUUUUUUUUUUAAUGUGGGUAUCUUGUGAUUUUCAUUAAAUUACAAAAUAUGGAAUGAGGGACACAAUCAUCAUAAAGAGACUUUUUAUACGAUCCAGUAAGUAACAUGUCACAAUAUGUUUAUAACCAUUCAGAACAGCUUUGCAGCCAAAUAACAUCAUAUAAGCAUUGUGGUGGCAACAUUUAGUUGCUGUUAUAAUGAAUCUAAUUCCUUUCAAAUAUCAAUAAUAGCUAAUUGGUUUGUUUUCAAUUAUGCUCACUUCAAAUGCUUUGUAAUCUUUUGUAUUUUCACAAAAGAUUUCCCCACAAAGCAGCUUUUCUGAAUCCCUGGCGAGCAUGCAGAGAAAAUCCUCACCAUGGAGUCAGAUUUGUAGCUGAGCCAAUGAUAUUGUUUGUCUGUUUGUUGUUUGAUGUGGGCGUUCUGCAGUUCACAGUGUCACCUACAGGUGUCCUGUCCACUGUGAGGCUUUCAUCAGACUGAGGAUUUGGAGUGCAUUAGUGUAGGUCUGAAUCAGCGCAGGCCGUGGAGAGAUAGGGAUUGAGAGGAAGAAAAUAAAUGUGUGAUGAGUGAGAGAGGGAGGAGACAUACUGUACAUACAACCUGGAUAAUAGUGGAAGGAAAACAGGCAGAGGACACAAAAAAGGACAAUAUUGCACAAAUAUAUACUGAUACAAAGCAAGACAUGGAGUUGUGUGAGAAUUCAGAUCAGAAGCAUAGUCUAGACUGCCGUGGUAAUCCAGGACACAAGCAGUGCUGAGAACUAAAGACGUCAUCACAACCUCACACACAGACAUAUGGACAAGAUGGGGGCCAGUCGUCCACUACCUAAUGCGCCCAAGGAUUCACUAAGUGCUGCAAUAGAGGCCAUCAGUGUGAGCCCAGAACUUGUCGAGGAGGAACUAAAGCCAUAUUUGGACACAGUACUCAAUGUUGCCAUAGAAAGAAAGAAAGGCAUAUCAGAGCAGGUGGUAGAAAGUGGGAUUCUGCCUGUUCUGGCUCAGAUUUUAAGAAGAAAGAGCACGCUCACUACUCACACUGCCAGACUGGUAGCUGAACUGGCCAGAGAUGCUCCUGUGAGAGAGCAAUGCUUUGAGACAGGCAUUGUAUCUGCCCUUGUGACCUUACUGCUUAGCCAAGACCAGGACCUUCUCCUUCACGUUAGCCAGGCCAUCGCCAGGAUUUGCUAUGACAGCAACUUGCAGCAGGAGCGAUUCCUGAGGCUCGGAGCUGUCCCACGACUGGUGUCGGUUCUUCUCCAGUACCUUGAGAACGAGGCACUGCUGAGCUCUUGCCUUCUGGCCCUUUGUAACCUGGCCAACAUGGGCGAAGAAGAUGGCACCAUGCUCUCCUGGGAGGAAGGGGCGUAUUUCGAAGAAAUUCACACAGGUAUGGAAAGACAUGAAGAUCCCUCGACUGCACUUUGCCUGCCGUGUCCUUCAGUUCAGAAAGGCUGAGUGGGAUCAGGAAUCACCCUAAAUCUAUAAUGACACAUAAUACAUCUAUAAUGUUACAAAACAGUUCAAAUAAAUGCUUUUUUUUCUGAAAUAAAUGUAUUGCUUUUUCCCCAAAAAAUAUUAAGAUUAAAUUUCAGCACUAUUGCAGAUUGUUUUAUUCAUUUUAUUGUUAUAUGUUAUUUAUUUAUUUAUUUAAGGUUUAGUAUUUUUGUGAUUGUAACUUUUAUUAUUAUUUUUU
ensembl:lncRNA